AAGUCGUAACAAGGUUUCCGUAGGUGAACCUGCGGAAGGAUCAUUAACACGUAUCCAAACGUUAAAACCCCCCCCGUGAACCUUCAUCCUGCUCUUGUAACCCGCGUAGUUCGCAAUCUCUGAUAAAUCAUAGCCCGGAAAGUUGUAGUGAUUCAGAGACCUCUGGCUACGUGCGAACAUUGGAACAGUUACAAUCGAGCGGUAGUUCUAUAGGCAAUGUUUCUCCAAGCAGUCAGUGUCGGAAAGUGUCAUUGAUUGUGUAAGGGUGGCGCAAACACGAUCGUUGGAGGCCGACACGGCCGACGACCGGGUCCCUGGGUCACCAUGCCCCUUAUAAAUCACCACACUGUAACGCCGACAGGUCGCGAUAAUUCCGCUGACCACAAAAAACCGAACAACUGUUAACAAUGGAUAUCUUGGUUCUC
rnacentral:misc_RNA from 1 species